CCCUUCCACAAAGAAUGUCUGGUUCCCUGUCUUGGGCCAUGUAAGAAUUGGAGGCAAAGAGAGGUCGACUUGGAGAAGUCUGGGGCCAGUUGUUCCUUGCAGGCUGAGGAUCAGCUGUCCUGCCUAG